CAAGUAGGUGGCCUGACAAGUGAGAGGUGAAAUCCCGCUACUCAAUAGCGGAACUGCCUUUCAAACUAUCGGGCUUGAGGUUGGGAGAAGAGAAUGGAAUUCCCGGUGUAAGGGUGAAAUCUGUAGAUAUCGGGAAGAACACCAGUGGCGAAAGCGAUUCUCUAGCCCAAUCCUGACACUGAAUUGCGAAAGCUAGGGGAGCAAACAGGAUUAGAUACCCUGGUAGUCCUAGCUGUAAACGAUGAGCACUAGGUGUUGGUCUUUCGGGAUCAGCGCCGCAGUUAACACAUUAAGUGCUCCACCUGGGGACUACGACCGCAAGGUUAA
rnacentral:rRNA from 1 species